rnacentral:rRNA from 1 species
CUCGAGGCCAGAUCUAGAGUUUGAUCCUGGCUGAGAUUGAACGCUGGCGGCAUGCCUUACACAUGCAAGUCGAACGGCAGCAUGGGAGCUUGCUCCUGAUGGCGAGUGGCGAACGGGUGAGUAAUAUAUCGGAACGUGCCCUAGAGUGGGGGAUAACUAGUCGAAAGACUAGCUAAUACCGCAUACGAUCUACGGAUGAAAGUGGGGGAUCGCAAGACCUCAUGCUCCUGGAGCGGCCGAUAUCUGAUUAGCUAGUUGGUGGGGUAAAAGCCUACUAAGGCGACGAUCAGUAGCUGGUCUGAGAGGACGACCAGCCACACUGGGACUGAGACACGGCCCAGACUCCUACGGGAGGCAGCAGUGGGGAAUUUUGGACAAUGGGGGCAACCCUGAUCCAGCAAUGCCGCGUGAGUGAAGAAGGCCUUCGGGUUGUAAAGCUCUUUUGUCAGGGAAGAAACGGUAGUAGCUAAUAUCUAUUACUAAUGACGGUACCUGAAGAAUAAGCACCGGCUAACUACGUGCCAGCAGCCGCGGUAAUACGUAGGGUGCAAGCGUUAAUCGGAAUUACUGGGCGUAAA